AGCUCAUACUGCAGUUACUCUGCGUGCCCAGCCUGCUCCCUGCUGGGGCUGUACUCUGUGCCAAAAUGCAGGCUUAGGUGGUAGCUAUACCUCUCUGGAGCUGCCGUGGGAGCUGCUGUCGUCAGCGACGCGGUGCCGUUCGCCAGCGUGCAGUUGAGGGUCAACAGUUGCAGAGGGAUGGACUUCGUUGGUGGUGCAGGGUAAAUGAAAGAGCCAGUACCAGCCCAAAAAGCCAAGGUGAUCCCAGCUAAGAGGCCUCCAAGAGCACCCUUGGCAAGUGUAGAAAGAUGCUGUUAAAGCAAGAAAUACCUGCACGACUCCUCCCAUCAGCGACGCUGCUGCAGCCAUGGAAGUGCACAGGACGCCGUAUAAAACACCUGGAAAAGAUCAGGAAAGAAAAAUAAAACAGACCAGAUGCUGCACUUGAGCUGUCUGAAAAGGCAUGGCUAAUCAGCUUUUUAACAGGGUGUGAUGACUAGGCACAGCUCCAUGACACAGCACUGUCUGAGAACUGACACCACUGGAGGAGAAACAAGUAAUCUGGAAAUGAUAAUAUAGAAAUUAGAACACACCUGUAUAGAAGGCUUGGACUAACACUGUUUUGGAAACAAGUGGCUUGGAAUGAGUUUUUUCCCCUUGGAGAUAUGAGUGAAAUUUGUGAGACUGCUUUUAUAUUGUUCUGAUGGAGACACAGGCAGUGUGAUUAAGCGUCUUGCUUACAAAUGAGUAGCAGUAAAGUAAAGUACCACUCUUG